rnacentral:rRNA from 1 species
UUAGAUGCGAGAGUAGAGCAUAUCAAUAAGCGGAGGAAAAGAAACUAACAAGGAUUCCCUUAGUAACGGCGAGUGAAGCGGGAAGAGCUCAAAUUUGAAAUCUUCAAGGUUCUACCUUGACGAAUUGUAGUUUAAAGAAGUGUUUUCUGUUAGAUGAGUAGCAAAAGUUCCUUGGAAUGGGACAUCAUAGAGGGUGAGAAUCCCGUAUUUGGUUAUUCAUUCUAGCUUUGUGAUACACUUUCAAAGAGUCGGAUUGUUUGGGAAUGCAGUCCAAAAUGGGUGGUAAAUUUCAUCUAAAGCUAAAUAUUGGCGAGAGGACCGAUAGCGAACAAGUACCGUGAGGGAAAGAUGAAAAGAACUUUGAAAAGAGAGUUAAACAGUACGUGAAAUUGUCAAAAGGGAAGCGUUUGACACCAGUGUUGUUUUUCCGAAAAUCAAUUACGAAUGGCUUGAUUUUGUGUUGUAUUGACCUUAUCAGCUUUCUGCACUUUUUUUCGAGUCUUUCUUAAUGCACUUUUCGGUUAACAAGUCAACAUCAAUUUCUUUUGUUGUAAAAGAGUAUUCGGAAGGUGGCUUUCUUUUCGGAGAAAGUGUUUAUAGCCCUAUACUUCUACAAUCGGAGAGAUUGAGGUCUGCAGCGUAGAUCCUUCGGGGUUAGAUACACUUGUGCUAAGUUGUAGCUUUUCAUAGACAACUUGUUGACUAUGUUUAGUCAUGCGGCUUACUCGCUUGUGCUAUUUUACCUACGCUUAGGAUGUUGAGCGCAUGUCUCUCUCU